GCGGGAGUAGCUCAGUGGUAGAGCGCUAGCCUUCCAAGCUGGAUGUCGCGGGUUCGAAUCCCGUUUCCCGCUCCA
rnacentral:tRNA from 1 species